UUUUUUGUUUGGGUAGGGGAGCGUCGUGCAUGUGUUGAAGCGUUACCGUAAGGAGGCGUGGAGUGUGUGCGAGUGAGAAUGCAGGCAUGAGUAACGAAUUGGAAGGUGAGAAUCCUUCCCGCCGGAUGACUAAGGGUUCCUGGGUCAAGUUCGUCUUCCCAGGGUGAGUCGGGACCUAAGGCGAGGCCGACAGGCGUAGUCGAUGGAUAACCAGUUGAUAUUCUGGUACCCGUAUAUCCGCGCCCAUGAUAAAGCACUGAUACUAACCACCGCGGAUACGAUUGAUGUGUUCUUUGAACACGUUGGUUGUUGAUGUCGUGGGGCCUGAUGUGUGGUUCAAGUGAUGGGGUGACACAGUGUAGUAGCCAUGCCGCUUAGUGGAUUGUUGGUGUAAGCGUGUGAGGUGGUGUGUAGGUAAAUCCGCGCACCGUUAAACCUGAGGCGUGAUGCGUAGCCCAAGUGUGGGUGAAGUUGGUGAUCUAGUACUGUCGAGAAAAGCCUCUAGCGAUGUGGAUGUAUGGCCCGUACCCUAAACCGACACAGGUGGUCAGGUUGAAAAUACUAAGGCGUUCGGGUGAACUGUGGUUAAGGAACUCGGCAAAAUGCCCCCGUAACUUCGGGAGAAGGGGGACCACACGACUUAAGCACUCUUUGCGAGUGUGGUGGGUUGUGGGGUCGCAGAGAAUAGAGGGAAGCGACUGUUUAUCAAAAACACAGGUCCAUGCGAAGACGUGAAGUUGAUGUAUAUGGACUGACGCCUGCCCGGUGCUGGAAGGUUAAGAGGACCGGUUAGUAGUCUUUUGGCUGCGAAGCUGAGAAUUUAAGCCCCAGUAAACGGCGGUGGUAACUAUAACCAUCCUAAGGUAGCGAAAUUCCUUGUCGGGUAAGUUCCGACCUGCACGAAUGGCGUAACGACUUCUCUGCUGUCUCAACCACAGGCCCGGUGAAAUUGCACUACGAGUAAAGAUGCUCGUUACGCGCGGCAGGACGAAAAGACCCCGGGACCUUCACUAUAGCUUGGUAUUGGUGUUCGGUUCGGUUUGUGUAGGAUAGGUGGGAGACU
rnacentral:rRNA from 1 species